GACGAACGCUGGCGGCGUGCUUAACACAUGCAAGUCGAACGGGAUCCUGCGACCCGAUUUUUUCGGAAAGAGGGAAGCGGGUGAGAGUGGCGAACGGGCGAGUAACGCGUGGGCAAUCCGCCCUUCACAGGGGGACAACACCGGGAAACCGGUGCUAAUACCGCAUAAACCGGCAGUGCCGCAUGGCACAACCGGCAAAGGAAGCGAUUCCGGUGAAGGAGGGGCCCGCGUCCAAUUAGCUAGUUGGUGGGGUAACGGCCCACCAAGGCCGCGAUUGGUAGCCGGGCUGAGAGGCCGGACGGCCGCAUUGGGACUGAGACACGGCCCAGACUCCUACGGGAGGCAGCAGUGGGGGAUAUUGCGCAAUGGGGGGAACCCUGACGCAGCAACGCCGCGUGAAGGACGAAGGUUUCGGAUCGUAAACUUCUUUGACCAGGGACGAAAGAAUGACGGUACCUGGUGAACAAGCCACGGCUAACUACGUGCCAGCAGCCGCGGUAAAUCUGUAGUCGU
rnacentral:rRNA from 1 species